CAAGUACUCCCUCCGUCCGGAAUUACUUGUUAUCAAAAUGGAUGUGUCUAGAACUAAAAUACAUCUAGAUACAUCCAUUUCAAUGACAAGUAUUUUUGGACGGAGGAAGUACAAG
rfam:Triticum aestivum genome assembly, contig: Triticum_aestivum_CS42_TGACv1_scaffold_499767_6BL